GUUACUGCUAUCGGGGUUCGAUUAAGCCAUACAAGUUAAAUGUUUUUCGUAAACAUAGCGAACUGCUCAGUAACACGUGGAUAACUUAACCUUAGGUCCGGCAUAACCCCGGGAAACUGGGGAUAAUUCCGGAUGUAUCAAGGAUGCUGGAAUGCCCUUUGGUUCAAAGCUUUUGUGCCUAAGGAUAGGUCUGCGGUCUAUCAGGUAGUAGUGGGUGUAACGUACCUACUAGCCGACGACGGAUACGGGUUGUGAGAGCAAGAGCCCGGAGAUGGAUUCUGAGACACGAAUCCAGGCCCUACGGGGUGCAGCAGGCGCGAACACUUUACAAUGCGGGAAACCGCGAUAAGGGAACCCCGAGUGCCAGUACUAAGUGCUGGCUGUCUAGAUGAAUAGAUAUCAUUUAAUAGCAAGGGCCGGGCAAGACCGGUGCCAGCCGCCGCGGUAACACCGGCGGCCCGAGUGGUAACCGAUAUUAUUGGGUCUAAAGGGUCCGUAGCCUGUUUAAUAAGUCCUUUGGGAAAUCUGGCAGCUUAACUGUCAGGCUGCUAAAGGAUACUGUUAAACUUGGGACCGGUAGACGUAGGGGGUACUCCAGGGGUAGGAGUGAAAUCUUGUAAUCCCUGGGGGACCAUCUGUGGCGAAGGCGCCCUACGAGAACGGGUCCGACGGUGAGGGACGAAAGCUAGGGGAGCAAACCGGAUUAGAUACCCGGGUAGUCCUAGCUGUAAACGAUGCUCGCUAGGUGUCAGGCACGGUGCGUCCGUGUCUGGUGCCGCAGGGAAGCCGUUAAGCGAGCCACCUGGGGAGUACGGUCGCAAGGCUGAAACUUAAAGGAAUUGGCGGGGGAGCACUACAACGGGUGGAGCCUGCGGUUUAAUUGGAUCAACGCCGGA
rnacentral:rRNA from 1 species